rnacentral:tRNA from 1 species
GCCUGGGUGGCUUAGUCGGUUGAGCGUCCGACUUCGGCUCGGUCAUGAUCUCCCAGUUCUUGGGUUCGAGCCCCACGUCCGGCU